UACGUAGGGUGCGAGCGUUGUCCGGAAUUAUUGGGCGUAAAGAGCUUGUAGGCGGUUUGUCGCGUCUGCUGUGAAAUUUCGGGGCUCAACCCCGAACUUGCAGUGGGUACGGGCAGACUAGAGUGUGGUAGGGGAGACUGGAAUUCCUGGUGUAGCGGUGAAAUGCGCAGAUAUCAGGAGGAACACCGAUGGCGAAGGCAGCUUUCUGGUCUAAGACUGACGCUGAGGCACGAAAGCGUGGGGAGCAAACAGG
rnacentral:rRNA from 1 species